rnacentral:misc_RNA from 1 species
AACUUCGUCUUUAGUAUAAAAGAAUUGUCAAAUGAUAAUAAAUAAAACAAGUAAAGAAUGAAGGUAUUUUGGCAAUGAAAAUGGGGAAUGACACAUCUACAUAUCUUUGCCAUUCCUAGUAAUUAGAUAUGGAAAUUUUAUCUUGGCCCUAAUUUGGAGUGAAAACUUCUUUCCGUCAAAAGGAACAUCGGUUAGAUGAUUACGGUAUCCCCUGUUUUCCUAUUGUGUAGCACAAAUCAAUAGCAGUUUUUGUAACACUAAAUACAAAUCAAACUUAGAUAAUAACAAUUGAAAUAUUGGCAAUGAAUUGGGAAAAAGGGAAAA